rnacentral:rRNA from 1 species
AGUGAACGCUGGCGGUAGGCCUAACACAUGCAAGUCAAACGGCAGCACAGUAAGAGCUUGCUCUUACGGGUGGCGAGUGGCGGACGGGUGAGGAAUACAUCGGAAUCUACUUUUUCGUGGGGGAUAACGUAGGGAAACUUACGCUAAUACCGCAUACGACCUACGGGUGAAAGCAGGGGAUCUUCGGACCUUGCGCGAUUGAAUGAGCCGAUGUCGGAUUAGCUAGUUGGCGGGGUAAAGGCCCACCAAGGCGACGAUCCGUAGCUGGUCUGGGAGGAUGAUCAGCCACACUGGAACUGAGACACGGUCCAGACUCCUACGGGAGGCAGCAGUGGGGAAUAUUGGACAAUGGGCGCAAGCCUGAUCCAGCCAUACCGCGUGGGUGAAGAAGGCCUUCGGGUUGUAAAGCCCUUUUGUUGGGAAAGAAAAGCAGCAGGUUAAUACCCCGCUGUUCUGACGGUACCCAAAGAAUAAGCACCGGCUAACUUCGUG